AUUGAACGCUGGCGGCAUGCCUUACACAUGCAAGUCGAACGGCAGCACGGGAGCAAUCCUGGUGGCGAGUGGCGAACGGGUGAGUAAUGUAUCGGAACGUACCUUUCAGUGGGGGAUAACGUAGCGAAAGUUACGCUAAUACCGCAUAUUCUGUGAGCAGGAAAGCAGGGGAUCGCAAGACCUUGCGCUGAUUGAGCGGCCGAUAUCAGAUUAGCUAGUUGGUGAGGUAAAGGCUCACCAAGGCGACGAUCUGUAGCGGGUCUGAGAGGAUGAUCCGCCACACUGGAACUGAGACACGGUCCAGACUCCUACGGGAGGCAGCAGUGGGGAAUUUUGGACAAUGGGCGCGAGCCUGAUCCAGCCAUGCCGCGUGAGUGAAGAAGGCCUCGGUGUAG
rnacentral:rRNA from 1 species